GCUGGUAGACUAUAUGUGGUUAGUACCUCCAGUCAUCCUUCAGAUGGUGUUUAUAAUUAGCAGUACAAUGGCACUGAGUAACAUCCACGGUUGUACUGCAGUGCAACCGCUUGGAAAUGGAUUUCCUGGAACCUCUUUUUUCCCUACUCCUGGGUUCAAUAAGUACAAAAUAUUGUCUCCCCAGCAGUCUCAGCCAUCCCCUUGCUGCCUCAUUGAGUCAGCUCUCAUGGAGAUUCCUCAACCCACUGAGGUGUUUCACAUUGACAGGUAAAUUAUCUGCUAAUUAAUUCUCAUUCACUUGUAAGCUUUAGAUGACACUCUUAUUUCUGGAGGGUAUAAGUUACCUCCAUUGGCAUCUCCUUCUGUCAUAGAGUCAGAUUUCUGUCUUCUGCUUCAUCACAUUUAGCCUCUGGUAACAGAUACAAACCAUGUGUGUGCCUCUGCCUCUACUGAAUUCAUUCUCUCUCACGAGAGAGAGGGAAAUGCAGACUACCCCAGAAGCCAUGAAGUUGCUUCUUUCUUAUCUCAGGAAGAGGUUUCCACAUAUUUGUUUCUGAUGCAGAAGAGAUGUGAGGACUGAGGAACCACCUGGGACAUGACGUUUCAUACCUCUAAAUUCAAAAUGCUAAACUUGGUGACAGCACAGCUUGUCUAUUGGUUUGUCACACGAGUUUUAGAAUGCCUUUCUCUAUCAGUGUGUUUGCUUUUCAAAGGCAGCAUCUUGUCCCUUCAUGGCCCGUGGGGCCCAAUGCUUGGGUUUGAUUUAUGUGUUCGCAGAUCUUGCCUUCAAAAUCAACACCAAUCUUUCCAAUCACGCGAUAGAGAAGAAACCAAAUGUCCUCUAAUGGCUGCUCCAUUGGAAAUCCAGGCAAGGAGUGGCGACCUGGCACCGUGAUCCCAGAGCGCUGUAAGGCUGGAGUUCGUGUGUAAUUCACCUCUGAUCUGGAGACAAAAAAUGACAAUUUCUGCCUGAGGAGACUGCUCCUACAGCCGCUGCCGGAGCUGUUCUGUCACUCGCUCAGGCCCGUAAGGUAAUUUCCUCCACAUGUUUUCAAGAAGCGAAGAGAGGACCAGUACGUUUCAGUCUGCUUGGUUUGUGAUUUCUCAUUCCCACUCAAGACGUUGUCUGUGACCUUUCUGCAGGUCCAGCAAAUUUUUGCAGCUGCUAAACCAUGAAAUCAGUGGAUCCUUUGAGUUUGGUACUGGAACCACUCUUGUUUUAAGGAUAACUUACAUUUGUAACAGAGUUUCGCUUGCUUAACGUUAGCUAAUGAAAAUUUAACAGUAGUUAAUGCCUUAAGGAUUUUUGGUUGGUUGGUUUAGGGGCUUGUUGUUUUUUUUUAAUUGGUUGGUUGGGCUGGGUUUUGAGUUUUUCUUGAAGUACGUGGUGCUGUAUGUUGCUCCUAGCAAAGGAGGUUCAAUGCUAAAUGCUAAAAUGGUAUGCUGGAUUGUCACAACAAACCACCCCUGCAUCUUCCAGAAAAGGAUGGAUGAAUAUGUGCUGGCAGACGCUCCCAAGGGGAGUACUGCCCAUGGGUGAAAGCUGAAGAAUUCCUGAGUGAGUAGUGAGUGCAGGAAACUGGGUUUGACUUCGGUCAGGGUGACACAGGAGGUCCUUGCCCAUCUCUUGUUUUGUACGCACUGUCAGCACUACUCACCAGCUUCUGUGGGGGGUAGAAGGGAGGAGGGUAUCUCUCUAACACAGUAUUUCUGCAUUGAUUGUGAGACUGCUUAUUUUUGAAGUAGCAACAGAAAGGUUUGGUUUCAUGUUUUUUUUAAUAUGUCUGAAGUACGUUCCUCAUGUGCAAUGCAUGCUGUUAAAACAUUGUUCUUUAAUAACAGUAGGGUCCUAUCCCGAGGCGAUAGGAUUGAUGUAAAUUAACAGACGUUUAAUAUUCAGUUCAUACACUACUUAAAAAACAAAUGGUAAUUUUCCAGGAAUAAAUAAAUAAGUAAAUAAAUAAAGUUUUAGGUAAAACCCACAGUUUGGAUUCUGACAUGAAAAAUGUGAUCAUAACACAGUACCUUGAAAUGGGGAAGCUGACCUUGCCAGAAUUACUUUAAUUGUGCAAUAUCGCCAUUUAAAAGUACCUACUGAGAAUAAAACACCAAGAGAUGUUUUUACUGUGGAGACGUGUAGUCAUCGUUACUUUGGGUAAAAAAUAUCACCGAAAAGUUGUCUGUUUAGGUAUUCCUAAAUGGGGAAAAAAAAGCAUAGGAAAAGAUAGCACUCCAAAAUUUCCUAAAAUGAGGCUGUAUCGACAGUUAGCUUGAAGUGUGUUCCGUGCUCCAGCUGGAGUUUCUUCUGGCCAGCAGAUGGAGACGAUGCAGCUGAGUAUCAGAGUGCCGUGCACUGUGCUAGGGGAGUUUAUUGCUCCUUAGUCUCUGGUUGGGGAAGGUGUCUCUUACCAGGGCUGUUCUACAGGAAGGUGUUAACGACCGUGCUGUAUGAGUGACUGUGCAACUUGGCCCUGUGUUUGAGCAUGAUCCUAAUGCCGGUGCAUGGAAAAGGAGACAAAGGUUAAGAAAGAGGGGAGAAGUUUCAUCCAUUCACAGUGCCACCCACCUGAAGUGGCCCUGAAAAAAAAAUAAGGGCUCUUCACGUUGAAAAGGCGACAACCUUGAGGGAUACGGUGUGUGCAUCUACACACUCAUGAACGUAUGGAAGUGGGUGAAUAGGGAAUUCAACAUUUCUCCGCAACUGGGUACCCAAAUGAUGUAUGAGGAUGCUUUCAAGUGCUGCAAUUAAUGUGUGAAAGUAAUUUCUGAUGGGUGUGUCUAGAAAUUAAACUGGAGAACUGGGGCAGCUCUGUCAGCGUAGGCUUGUUGGUGCUCAUUAAGCAAGGCAUCUCAAGGAAACUCCUUCCUCAACAAGUCCAUAAAUCAUGGAGCAGGGUAAGCACACCAGGGGGAGGCUUGCUCUACACUUAUCCCAUGCCCCAUGUUUUCUCCCUCAGGCUCCCACAGCCAUUUGCACUCAUCCCUCAUUACUGCAUUCCUGUCCUCACUUUUUUCCCCCCUAUAGUUUUGUUUGCACAGAAUCUCUGUGCACCUCCAAAGCUCUUCCCUGUGUCUGCAGAACUUUCUGAUAUAGGGAACACAUCUUCAAACAGGUCAUAUAGGAUCAGCUAGGGUAGGAAUCACUUUACAUAAAGCAAUUUCAGUGCUGAUGUCCAUGUAGACACUUGCUAUGGGGCCUGGAAAGGAAAAAAUGCUUUCUCAUCUUGGCAGUGCUGAGCGUUACAUGGCUUCUGAACAAAAGACAAGGGAGAAAUACUUAGUCGAAUAAAAGCAUAAUGAAACGUUCUGACCUUUUUCCCCCUGCACUCUUCUCGAGGAGCUCAUAUGCAGGCUUUUUUCAGGCAUUCGAGAGUGGCAAAUGUGAAAUGCUGAAUUUUAGUAAGUAACCUGCACAGGGAUCAAAGUGCAGCAGAAAGCAAGGCAUGCAGCGAGGCUCUCCGCUUUCCCCUGGUAGAAGAUUAAACAGCUUUAAUAGUGCAGUUUUAUGAGAACCACAGCUCCUCUGUUACUGGCCUGCCUCUUCAGGAGGAGACGUUACAGCAGGAAGCAGGGAUUAGGGUUUCCUCUCCAGUGCCAGAGGGAGAUAUGGCACAGUGCAGAUGUGCAGUGCCAGAGCUGUCAGCAACCACAGGGAGUCUGCGGAGGGAACGAGCUAACCAGACAGUGGUGAAGCAAUUAGAAAUAUCAAAGGAAAGAAUGUGCUUUGGAAUGUAAAGGCAUGAGAUGAUAGGCAUCUUUAGUAUAAAGAACCGGUUAAAUUUAGUACAGGCUAUUAUUAAAACUCCUGGCACAUUAAGACAUUUCCUGGGAACUAUUCUGGUUAAGCCUGCACUAUUUCAGCAGUAAAUUCAAUCCAGUUAUGUAUUCAACUCAUUUUGAAACGUAGUAUCUAAAAGAAUGAGAUUUUCUUUUUUUUUUAUUAUCUUCUUAAUUCUACUGAAAAUAGCAAAAAAUCACCACAGGAAAUUAAGAUUAUUAUUAUUUUUAUUAUUAUUUGAGAUCAAAUUUGCCCUAAAGAUCAAUAAAGCAAAAAUGAUAAGCUCCUGUACUUCACUGUCCCAGCAAAUAGUGAAUCUCAUAUUUAAAAUAAUUACAAAGUGGAAAACUUUACAAUGAACUGAAAGGAUAUGGAGCACCGUAACAGUGGAAGGAAUGAAGACAUAGCAUAUACAGACCACUCACUGAGGAAACUGCAAAAAUACAAUAGACAUAAGGGAUUUUUUUCUCUGAAAUAUUGCAGGAAAAUAAUUGGAAGCCGUGGUCACAAAUUACAAAUAUGUAAAUUGGUUGAAACAGUUGGGCAUGGGAAAAACACAUACCACCCUCACCUGCACUCGGCAUCUCAGAAAACUAAGAGAUCGUACAGAGAGCAUCCCUGUCUGUCUGCCAGCAUCACAACCUCGGGAAUAGGACAGCAAUCAUCACAGACAUUUCCAGCUCACGGGAAGAGUCCACGUUGCCAUGCAUGCUGAACAGGUGAAGUGCAGUCUUUGCAGUGAUUGACCAGUGGGGACAUUUGCAAAGGGAAGAACACGGAAAACAAUUCUGCGUAUCAUUGCCUGAAAAUUGAUGGGAGCUCAUAGGAGAAAAAGGAGAGACUUAACCCACUCGACCAUUAAGGAAACUUUUCCUUCCCGUAUCAAAAGUACACUGCAGCAGAAAGUAGACAGCCGUUGAGAUUUUUCCUUGGUGGUGGAAUUGAUGCUUCAUAGCUUUUAGUCUUAAUUCUGCAUUUUUUACACCCUACCCUAGGGUGCUCUAGCAGGGAAGGUUGGACUCCAUGAUCUCCAGAGGUCCCUUCAAGCCCCAAUUCUGCAAUUCUGCAAUUCUGUGAUUCUGUGGUCUGUUGAAAUUCUACUUACAAAGAAAAUGAGUGCAACGGAUAAGAGAAAAAAGCAGGAAAAUAAAUGCUUUCCAAGUCUGUAAUCAUUUGAUUACUUGAUUUUAUUAAACGUAAAUUAUGCAGACCUUGCUAAGCUUUCUGCAGUAAAAUAUUGUUUCUGUAAAUUAUUGAGUACCUUUCAUUUUCUGCACAGAAAGUCUCAAGGAUUCCUUUUGAAGAAGGAAUUUCGUUAACGAAAUUAAACCCAAAUAGAAGCUAAUGCUCUUGUUUCUCUUCAUUCCGGUGCACGUCUCAGAUGAGAAGCAAAUACAUUACCGCCCUCAGCAGACGCGGUGUCUGCUCUGACAUUUGGAGG
ensembl:lncRNA